rnacentral:rRNA from 1 species
AACGCGAAGAACCUUACCAGGGUUUGACAUCCUGCGACCGCCUCCUAAUAGGGGUUUUCCCGCAAGGGACGCAGAGACAGGUGCUGCAUGGCUGUCGUCAGCUCGUGUCGUGAGAUGUUGGGUUAAGUCCCGCAACGAGCGCAACCCUCGCCUUUAGUUGCCAUCAUUCAGUUGGGCACUCUAGAGGGACCGCCGGCGACAAGCCGGAGGAAGGUGGGGAUGACGUCAAGUCCUCAUGGCCCUUACACCCUGGGCUACACACGUGCUACAAUGGCGGUGACAGUGGGCAGCUACUUCGCGAGAAGCGGCUAAUCCCAAAAAACCGUCCCAGUUCAGAUUGUACUCUGCAACUCGAGUACAUGAAGGUGGAAUCGCUAGUAAUCGCAGAACAGCAGGCUGCGGUGAAUACGUUCCCGGGCCUUGUA